AUGGAGCUGCAGCGGCGAGCGAUGGCUCAGACCCACCGGUUCCUGCUCCUCUUCCAUGCUGCCGUCCUGGCCGGGCUCGCCUCCGCCUCCGCGUCGCCCUCCGUGUCCGUGUCUGACAGCGUAUUCCAGGCCAGCACCGGAUCGACAUCGACGGGGAGGAGGAGCUUGCUGCAGACCAAGAGGGACUGCCCUAUGAGCUUCGAGACCCAGAACUACACGAUCCUCACAAACAAGUGCAAAGGGCCACAAUACCCUCCUAAUGAAUGUUGUGAAGCUUUCAAGGAAUUUGCAUGCCCAUUUGCCGCGUACAUCAACAACCAGAGCACUAACUGUGCAGACACAAUGUUAACCUACAUCAACGUCCAUGGCUCGUACCCGGCAGCCCUAUUCGCCGACGAGUGCCUCAAAGGCAAGGAAGGGGUUUCUUGCGAAGGCAUCCCAGAGAUAGGCACCGGCGUGCCAAGUGGUGGGCGACGAGCUCAAGGGAGUUCGCCACAUCCUUUGGUCGCUCUCUUGUGUGGAAUAGGAGCAUUGCUGUUCCAUUGA
rnacentral:rRNA from 1 species